UUGUGCAGAGGGGGAGGGGAGAAGGCGGCCGGCGCCUCCAGCCUCUGCCCAGGAAAACGCAGGGCAGGAAACGGCUCCAACUGUCAAACCCGAGCCCGGCCGCGGUCCUCCCAGGACACGUGUCUACUGGAUCGCUCCCUGUCCCGGCCCGAGGACUUCCUGAAACCCCAGCCUCCUCCGGCUGCCCGAAAACCCGUGAGUCAGUCCGGAGAGAAAGCCCCCGCCAGCCCGAGUCCCGCUGCUGCGGCCGGAGCACUGGGGAUCCCGGACCCGGCGUCCCAAACCUCAUCCGAGCUCCCAGACCGCCCUCCGGGAAGGGGACAGCCCGGACGGCCCGGCGGCGGCGCGGAUGCGAACAGGCUGCCGUUUGUCACCGGCGAUGGCUCCGAGUGCCGCAGAGUGGAGAAGCGCUAGCUGAAGUCCUAACCUCUACCAGAGCGGCUGCUAUCAACCAAAGUGACAGGAGAACCAUCACGAGUCGAGUUCACUUUCCAACUACUGGGCAAAGCGAAUGCCCAGAGCAAACCCCCCCCAAAAUAAGUUUGUUUUUUUU